GGAGAGGUGUCCGAGUGGUUUAAGGUGAUAGACUCGAAAUCUAUUGUGCGUUCACGCGUACCGGGGGUUCGAAUCCCUCCCUCUCCGCCA
rnacentral:tRNA from 1 species